GUGGGAGACUAUGAAGCGCUCACGCUAGUGGGUGUGGAGUCGUCACGUGAAAUACCACUCUGACCGUAGUGGAUGUCUCAACCUUGGCCCAUGAUCUGGGUUGGGGACAGUGCCUGGUGGGUAGUUUAACUGGGGCGGUUGCCUCCCAAAAUGUAACGGAGGCGCCCAAAGGUUCCCUCAGCCUGGUUGGCAAUCAGGUGGUGAGUGUAAGUGCACAAGGGAGCUUGACUGUGAGACAGACAUGUCGAGCAGGGACGAAAGUCGGGACUAGUGAUCCGGCACCUACUUGUGGAUGUGGUGUCGCUCAACGGAUAAAAGGUACCCCGGGGAUAACAGGCUGAUCUUCCCCAAGAGUCCAUAUCGACGGGAUGGUUUGGCACCUCGAUGUCGGCUCGUCGCAUCCUGGG
rnacentral:rRNA from 1 species